CACGUAGGGGCCAAGCGUUGUCCGGAUUUAUUGGGCGUAAAGAGCUCGUAGGCGGUUCGGUAAGUCGGGUGUGAAACCUCCAGGCUCAACCUGGAGACGCCACCCGACUACUGCUGUGACUCGAGUCCGGUAGGGGAGGCGUGGAAGUUCCUGGAUUCGUGAGGUACGGCUGGUAAAUGAACUGCGAGCAGAAUUCUCAAGGG
rnacentral:rRNA from 1 species